rnacentral:rRNA from 1 species
UUAAGCGACUAAGCGUACACGGUGGAUGCCCUGGCAGUCAGAGGCGAUGAAGGACGUGCUAAUCUGCGAAAAGCGUCGGUAAGGUGAUAUGAACCGUUACAGCCGGCGAUGUCCGAAUGGGGAAACCCAGUGUGAUUCGUCACACUAUCGUUAACUGAAUACAUAGGUUAACGAGGCGAACCGGGGGAACUGAAACAUCUAAGUACCCCGAGGAAAAGAAAUCAACCGAGAUUCCCCCAGUAGCGGCGAGCGAACGGGGAGCAGCCCAGAGUCUGAAUCAGCUUGUGUGUUAGUGGAACGGUCUGGAAAGUCCGACGGUACAGGGUGAUAGUCCCGUACACCAAAAUGCACAGGCUGUGAACUCGAAGAGUAGGGCGGGACACGUGGUAUCCUGUCUGAAUAUGGGGGGACCAUCCUCCAAGGCUAAAUACUCCUGACUGACCGAUAGUGAACCAGUACCGUGAGGGAAAGGCGAAAAGAACCCCGGCGAGGGGAGUGAAAAAGAACCUGAAACCGUGUACGUACAAGCAGUGGGAGCACCUUCGGGUGUGACUGCGUACCUUUUGUAUAAUGGGUCAGCGACUUAUAUUCUGUAGCAAGGUUAACCGUAUAGGGGAGCCGCAGGGAAACCGAGUCUUAACUGGGCGUUAAGUUGCAGGGUAUAGACCCGAAACCCGGUGAUCUAGCCAUGGGCAGGUUGAAGGUUGGGUAACACUAACUGGAGGACCGAACCGACUAAUGUUGAAAAAUUAGCGGAUGACUUGUGGCUGGGGGUGAAAGGCCAAUCAAACCGGGAGAUAGCUGGUUCUCCCCGAAAGCUAUUUAGGUAGCGCCUCGUGAACUCAUCUUCGGGGGUAGAGCACUGUUUCGGCUAGGGGGUCAUCCCGACUUACCAACCCGAUGCAAACUACGAAUACCGAAGAAUGUUAUCACGGGAGACACACGGCGGGUGCUAACGUCCGUCGUGAAGAGGGAAACAACCCAGACCGCCAGCUAAGGUCCCAAAGUCACAGUUAAGUGGGAAACGAUGUGGGAAGGCACAGACAGCCAGGAUGUUGGCUUAGAAGCAGCCAUCAUUUAAAGAAAGCGUAAUAGCUCACUGGUCGAGUCGGCCUGCGCGGAAGAUGUAACGGGGCUAAACUGUGCACCGAAGCUGCGGCAGCGACACUAUGUGUUGUUGGGUAGGGGAGCGUUCUGUAAGCCUGCGAAGGUGGCCUGUGAGGGUUGCUGGAGGUAUCAGAAGUGCGAAUGCUGACAUAAGUAACGAUAAUGCGGGUGAAAAGCCCGCACGCCGGAAGACCAAGGGUUCCUGUCCAACGUUAAUCGGGGCAGGGUGAGUCGACCCCUAAGGCGAGGCCGAAAGGCGUAGUCGAUGGGAAACAGGUUAAUAUUCCUGUACUUGGUGUUACUGCGAAGGGGGGACGGAGAAGGCUAUGUUAGCCGGGCGACGGUUGUCCCGGUUUAAGCAUGUAGGCGGAGGUUCCAGGUAAAUCCGGUACCUUUUUAACGCUGAGGUGUGAUGACGAGGCACUACGGUGCUGAAGUAACAAAUGCCCUGCUUCCAGGAAAAGCCUCUAAGCAUCAGGUAACAUUGAAUCGUACCCCAAACCGACACAGGUGGUCAGGUAGAGAAUACCAAGGCGCUUGAGAGAACUCGGGUGAAGGAACUAGGCAAAAUGGUGCCGUAACUUCGGGAGAAGGCACGCUGAUAUGUAGGUGAAGCCCCUGCGGGUGGAGCUGAAAUCAGUCGAAGAUACCAGCUGGCUGCAACUGUUUAUUAAAAACACAGCACUGUGCAAACACGAAAGUGGACGUAUACGGUGUGACGCCUGCCCGGUGCCGGAAGGUUAAUUGAUGGGGUUAUCCGUAAGGAGAAGCUCUUGAUCGAAGCCCCGGUAAACGGCGGCCGUAACUAUAACGGUCCUAAGGUAGCGAAAUUCCUUGUCGGGUAAGUUCCGACCUGCACGAAUGGCGUAAUGAUGGCCAGGCUGUCUCCACCCGAGACUCAGUGAAAUUGAACUCGCUGUGAAGAUGCAGUGUACCCGCGGCAAGACGGAAAGACCCCGUGAACCUUUACUAUAGCUUGACACUGAACAUUGAGCCUUGAUGUGUAGGAUAGGUGGGAGGCUUUGAAGCGUGGACGCCAGUCUGCGUGGAGCCAACCUUGAAAUACCACCCUUUAAUGUUUGAUGUUCUAACGUUGGCCCCUUAUCGGGGUUGCGGACAGUGUCUGGUGGGUAGUUUGACUGGGGCGGUCUCCUCCCAAAGAGUAACGGAGGAGCACGAAGGUUAGCUAAUCCUGGUCGGACAUCAGGAGGUUAGUGCAAUGGCAUAAGCUAGCUUGACUGCGAGCGUGACGGCGCGAGCAGGUGCGAAAGCAGGUCAUAGUGAUCCGGUGGUUCUGAAUGGAAGGGCCAUCGCUCAACGGAUAAAAGGUACUCCGGGGAUAACAGGCUGAUACCGCCCAAGAGUUCAUAUCGACGGCGGUGUUUGGCACCUCGAUGUCGGCUCAUCACAUCCUGGGGCUGAAGUAGGUCCCAAGGGUAUGGCUGUUCGCCAUUUAAAGUGGUACGCGAGCUGGGUUUAGAACGUCGUGAGACAGUUCGGUCCCUAUCUGCCGUGGGCGCUGGAGAAUUGAGGGGGGGCUGCUCCUAGUACGAGAGGACCGGAGUGGACGCAUCACUGGUGUUCGGGUUGUCAUGCCAAUGGCAUUGCCCGGUAGCUAAAUGCGGAAGAGAUAAGUGCUGAAAGCAUCUAAGCACGAAACUUGCCCCGAGAUGAGUUCUCCCUGACUCCUUGAGAGUCCUGAAGGAACGUUAAAGACGAUGACGUUGAUAGGUCGGAUGUGUAAGCGUAGCGAUACGUUGAGCUAACCGAUACUAAUGAACCGUGAGGCUUAACCUU